rnacentral:rRNA from 1 species
UACGUAGGGGGCAAGCGUUGUCCGGAUUUAUUGGGCGUAAAGAGCGUGUAGGCGGCCUGGAAGGUCAGCUGUGAAAACUCGAGGCUCAACCUCGAGACGUCGGUUGAAACCACCUGGCUAGAGUCCGGAAGAGGAGUGUGGAAUUCCCGGUGUAGCGGUGGAAUGCGCAGAUAUCGGGAGGAACACCCGUGGCGAAGGCGGCACUCUGGGA